rnacentral:rRNA from 1 species
UACGGGGGAUGCAAGCGUUAUCCGGAUUUAUUGGGUUUAAAGGGUGCGUAGGCUGUGAGGUAAGUCAGCGGUGAAAUGCCCCCGCUCAACGGGGUGAAGUGCCGUUGAUACUGCCUUGCUGGAAUGCGGAUGCCGUGGGAGGAAUGUGUGGUGUAGCGGUGAAAUGCAUAGAUAUCACACAGAACACCGAUUGCGAAGGCAUCUCACGAAUCCGCGAUUGACGCUGAUGCACGAAAGCGUGGGUAUCAAACAGG